CUACGGGAGGCAGCAGUUUCGAAUAAUUCACAAUGGGCGCAAGCCUGAUGAUGCGACGUUACGUGAAGGAAGAAAGCUUUAAGUUGUAAACUUCUGUCGUCAAGGAACAAAAAAUUAAGUAGUACUUUUUAUAUUGAGUUAACUUAAAAAGGAAGCAGUGGCUAAUUUCGUGCCAGCAGCCGCGGUAAUACGGGAACUGCAAGCGUUGCUCGGUUUUAUUGGGCGUAAAGAGUACGUAGGCUGUUAUAUAUGUUAAUUGUUAAACUUUAAAGUUAAUCUUUAAAUUUGCUGUUAAAACUAUAUAACUAGAAUUUCAAAGAGGUAAGUGGAAUUUCAAGUGUAGCGGUGAAAUGCGUAGAUAUUUGAAGGAACACCAAUGGCGAAAGCAACUUACUGGGUGAUAAUUGACGCUAAAGUACGAAAGUAUAGGGAGCAAAAGGGAUUAGAUACCCGCGUAGUC
rnacentral:rRNA from 1 species